rnacentral:rRNA from 1 species
AUUGAACGCUGGCGGCAGGCCUAACACAUGCAAGUCGAACGAGUGGCGGACGGGUGAGUAAUGUCUGGGAAACUGCAUGAUGGAGGGGGAUAACUACUGGAAACGGUAGCUAAUACCGCAUACCAUCGGAUGUGCCCAGAUGGGAUUAGCUAGUAGGUGGGGUAAAGGCUCACCUAGGCGACGAUCCCUACCUGGUCUGAGAGGAUGACCAGCCGCACGUGAACUGCGACACGGUCAUGACUCCUACGGUGGGCAGCAGUGCGGAAUAUUGCACAAUGGUCGCAAGCCUGAUGCAGCCAUGCCGCGUGUAUGAAGAAGGCCUUCUGGUUGUAAAGUACUUUCAGCGUGGAGGCGUUACCCGCAGAAGAAGCACCGGCUAACUCCGUGCCAGCAGCCGCGGUAAUUC